UACGUAGGGGGCAAGCGUUGUCCGGAUUUAUUGGGCGUAAAGAGCGUGUAGGCGGCCAGGUAGGUCAGCUGUGAAAACUCGAGGCUCAACCUCGAGACGCCGGUUGAAACCAUCAGACUAGAGUCCGGAAGAGGAGAGUGGAAUUCCUGGUGUAGCGGUGAAAUGCGCAGAUAUCAGGAAGAACACCCGUGGCUAAGGCGGCUCUCUAGUACGGUACUGACGCUGAGACGCGAAAAGCGUGGGGAGCGAACAGG
rnacentral:rRNA from 1 species